GAGGGUACAGCUCAGUGGUAGAGUGCAUGCUUAGCACGUGCAAGGUCCUGGGUUCAAUCCCUAGUACCUCCG
rfam:Camelus ferus unplaced genomic scaffold scaffold1532, whole genome shotgun sequence.